UACGUAGGGUGCGAGCGUUGUCCGGAAUUAUUGGGCGUAAAGAGCUUGUAGGCGGUUUGUCGCGUCUGCUGUGAAAAUCCGGGGCUCAACCCCGGACUUGCAGUGGGUACGGGCAGACUAGAGUGUGGUAGGGGAGACUGGAGUUCCUGGUGUAGCGGUGGAAUGCGCAGAUAUCAGGAGGAACACCGAUGGCGAAGGCAGGUCUCUGGGCCACUACUGACGCUGAGAAGCGAAAGCAUGGGUAGCAAACAGG
rnacentral:rRNA from 1 species